rnacentral:lncRNA from 1 species
UUCGCAAAAAAAUCUGGCUUUAUAAGCCAAGGUUGUAUCAAGAAUAUUUCUGCAGAAUUUGGUGAAUCCGCCGCGGAGUUUAGCACCGACUUGAAAGAUACGUUAUCAAAUAGUACAAUUUAAUUUAUAUCAAAAUAUCAGUUACAUUUAUUAUAGUUUCCAUUUGAGGUAGUUUGUCAAGACUAAAAAUCUCCCAGAUAAACAGGAAAU